CUAGGAAUCUGCCUGGUAGUGGGGGACAACGUCUCGAAAGGGACGCUAAUACCGCAUACGUCCUACGGGAGAAAGUGGGGGAUCUUCGGACCUCACGCUAUCAGAUGAGCCUAGGUCGGAUUAGCUAGUUGGUGAGGUAAUGGCUCACCAAGGCGACGAUCCGUAACUGGUCUGAGAGGAUGAUCAGUCACACUGGAACUGAGACACGGUCCAGACUCCUACGGGAGGCAGCAGUGGGGAAUAUUGGACAAUGGGCGAAAGCCUGAUCCAGCCAUGCCGCGUGUGUGAAGAAGGUCUUCGGAUUGUAAAGCACUUUAAGUUGGGAGGAAGGGCAGUAAAUUAAUACUUUGCUGUUUUGACGUUACCGACAGAAUAAGCACCGGCUAACUCUGUGCCAGCAGCCGCGGUAAUACAGAGGGUGCAAGCGUUAAUCGGAAUUACUGGGCGUAAAGCGCGCGUAGGUGGUUUGUUAAGUUGGAUGUGAAAUCCCCGGGCUCAACCUGGGAACUGCAUCCAAAACUGGCAAGCUAGAGUAGGGCAGAGGGUGGUGGAAUUUCCUGUGUAGCGGUGAAAUGCGUAGAUAUAGGAAGGAACACCAGUGGCGAAGGCGACCACCUGGGCUCAUACUGACACUGAGGUGCGAAAG
rnacentral:rRNA from 1 species